UGCGUAGGUGGCAAGCGUUAUCCGGAGUUAUUGGGCGUAAAGCAUGCGUAGGCGGAUAUUUAAGUGGGAUGUGAAACCCCGGGGCUCAACCCCGGACGUGCAUUCCAAACUGGAUGUCUAGAGUACAGGAGAGGAAAGGGGAAUUCCUAGUGUAGCGGUGAAUUGCGUAGAGAUUAGGAAGAACACCAGUGGCGAAGGCGCCUUUCUGGACUGUAACUGACGCUGAGACAUGAAAGCGUGGGUAGCAAACAGG
rnacentral:rRNA from 1 species